rnacentral:tRNA from 1 species
GCCUGGGUGGCUCAGUUGGUUAAGCGUCUGACUUCGGCUCAGGUCAUGAACUCACGGUCUGUGGGUUCGAGCCCCGUGUCAGGCU